AUGAAUUGCAUGAACUGGAACUGUCGAGGGCUUGGGAACCCUGAGACAGUUCGCGAGCUUCGCAAGAUUGUGAAGCAGGAAGGUCCCGCCCUUCUCUUCGUUAUGGAAACAAAGAUUAGGGGGAAACGAGUGGAAAGUUUGCAGCCCCUCUUGGGGUUUGCCGGUAGUUUUGCGGUUGAUAGCGAUGGAUUGAGUGGUGGCAUUGGUUUGUUUUGGUCAGAGGACGUUCAUGUCAAACUGAAGAAUUACAGCAAAGCUCACAUUGAUGUGAGAGUCAGGAGGAAAGAGCAUGAUCAGACCUCUGGCGAUUCAUGGUUUUUUACGGAGAACCUCGCUCUGGGAAUAGAUUUCAGAGUUGGGAGUUUCUACGUACGCUGCAUGGGAUACCUCAUGAUGGAUGGAUCUACAUGGGGGAUUUUCACGAGACAAUGUAUGCGGAAGAGCACUUUAGUGUUCACGCGCGCCCUGCAUGUCAGAUGCAAGCUUUUUGCGAGGUUAUCGAUUUUUGUUCCUUCCAAGACCUAG
rnacentral:rRNA from 1 species